rnacentral:lncRNA from 1 species
GAAACCUGUUCUCUACAGAUACUAAAACUAUUGCUGUCUUGAUUUCACCUUCUCAGCCUCCUGAACUGUGAGAUACACAUUCCUAUUAUCUAUGAAUUAUCAAGUAUUGGAUAUUUUGUCAUUGUAACUCCAAUGGAUAUGACAGUGAAGCUUCACUUUUAAAAAGCAAUCAUGAAAACCCUGGGAAAGAAAAUCUGGUUUUAAUAUUCUGACAAUGGCUGAAUUACCGUGAUACUGACUGAAGCUUUGAUCAUGCAAGUGAAAUAAGGGCAUCAAAGGAUUUGGAAGACAUCCCGUGGCCCACACAUUCGAGUCAACAUGUGUGUUAACACAGGGCCUGUUUGCUUUGUUUACUGUUUUACAAUUCAGUAAUCCUGCCACAAGUGUACAGCUGAAGUAAAUGACAUGAGGAUGUACAAUAGAUGCACUCCA